CCUACGGGGGGCAGCAGUGGGGAAUAUUGCACAAUGGGCGCAAGCCUGAUGCAGCCAUGCCGCGUGUAUGAAGAAGGCCUUCGGGUUGUAAAGUACUUUCAGCGGGGAGGAAGGCGAUAAGGUUAAUAACCUUGUCGAUUGACGUUACCCGCAGAAGAAGCACCGGCUAGCUCCGUGCCAGCAGCCGCGGUAAUAUGGAGGGUGCAAGCGUUAAUCGGAAUUGCUGGGCGUAAAGCGCACGCAGGCGGUCUGUCAAGUCGGAUGUGAAAUCCCCGGGCUCAACCUGGGAACUGCAUUCGAAACUGGCAGGCUAGAGUCUUGUAGAGGGGGGUAGAAUUCCAGGUGUAGCGGUGAAAUGCGUAGAGAUCUGGAGGAAUACCGGUGGCAAAGGCGGCCCCUUGGACAAAGACUGACGCUCAGGUGCGAAAGCGUGGGGAGCAAACAGGAUUAGAUACCCCUGUAGUC
rnacentral:rRNA from 1 species